rnacentral:lncRNA from 1 species
CCUAUUCGAAAACUGGACGAUGCACUUACGUGCUCAUUUAGCUAACACGACACUGCAGGGCACAACAAACUUUGGUUGGUCUCUAGAUAUUUUUUUUUACUUAUUGGAUCAUAUCAUCUUAAUGACCAAAUACAAAUAAUCUCUCGGAUAUUUUUUUUAAAUCUAUUAACUUUUAAAUUUGCAUUUGAACCAAAUCAACUAGCCAAAGUAUCUCUCUCACGUGACCCAGCUCGAUCGUUCCAAACAUCCCGCGUGUCGUCUUAAGGAGAGAGAGCGGACGUGCUGUGGUGUCCACGUGGCGGCGGCGUCGCUGGUUUCGCGGCGGUGAAACGACGACGAGCAUGUCGGUACACUGCCUCAAUUUACUUGUGAGAGAAGUGGGCGCAGAGAAAGGCAGCUUAGUUUCUCCGAUAUCAUCUUAGCUCCUGAUGCUUCCUAAGCCAACGU